AGUGAACGCUGGCGGUAGGCCUAACACAUGCAAGUCGAACGGCAGCACAGGAGAGCUUGCUCUCUGGGUGGCGAGUGGCGGACGGGUGAGGAAUACAUCGGAAUCUACCUUUUCGUGGGGAAUAACGUAGGGAAACUUACGCUAAUACCGCAUACGACCUACGGGUGAAAGUGGGGGACCGCAAGGCCUCACGCGAUUAGAUGAGCCGAUGUCCGAUUAGCUAGUUGGCGGGGUAAUGGCCCACCAAGGCGACGAUCGGUAGCUAGUCUGAGAGGAUGAUCAGCCACACUGGAACUGAGACACGGUCCAGACUCCUACGGGAGGCAGCAGUGGGGAAUAUUGGACAAUGGGCGCAAGCCUGAUCCAGCCAUACCGCGUGGGUGAAGAAGGCCUUCGGGUUGUAAAGCCCUUUUGUUGGGAAAGAAAUCCUAUCGGUUAAUAACCGGUGGGGAUGACGGUACCCAAAGAAUAAGCACCGGCUAACUUCGUGCCAGCCGCCGCAGUAAUAC
rnacentral:rRNA from 1 species